rnacentral:rRNA from 1 species
CCCGCACAAGCGGUGGAGCAUGUGGUUUAAUUCGAUGAUACGCGAGGAACCUUACCUGGGCUCAAAUGUAUGUUGACGUAUUCUAGAAAGGGAUACUUCUUCGGACAAUAUACAAGGUGCUGCAUGGUUGUCGUCAGCUCGUGCCGUGAGGUGUCGGGUUAAGUCCCAUAACGAGCGCAACCCCUAUCAUUAGUUGCCAUCAGGUCAAGCUGGGGACUCUAAUGAAACUGCCUACGCAAGUAGUGAGGAAGGUGGGGAUGACGUCAAAUCAGCACGGCCCUUACGUCCAGGGCUACACACGUGCUACAAUGGUCGGUACAAAGGGUUGCCAAGCCGCGAGGUGGAGCUAAUCCCAUAAAACCGAUCGUAGUCCGGAUCGCAGUCUGCAACUCGACUGCGUGAAGUCGGAAUCGCUAGUAAUCGUGAAUCAGAAUGUCACGGUGAAUACGUUCCCGGGCCUU